AAGCGCUUGCAACCAGACUUGCGCGCGGCGGUUCCCCCUUCCUUCUGGUUGGGCUAUUCCGUCGUGUCCAGGCCAACAUCGGUUCUGGGGGUCGGUUAAAGGCUCGGGGAAUGUAUCUACCCUCCGGGCGUAGACUUAUAGCCCCGAGUGUCAUGCGGCCUCCCGGGA
rnacentral:rRNA from 1 species